rnacentral:rRNA from 1 species
GUUGUAUGGUUAAGUGACUAAGCGUACAUGGUGGAUGCCUUGGCAGUCAGAGGCGAUGAAGGACGUACUAACCUGCGAUAAGCUGUGAGAAGUCGGUAAGAGACGCUAUUACUCACAGAUUUCCGAAUGGGGAAACCCACCCGAGAUAACUCGGGUAUCUGUUACUGAAUACAUAGGUAACAGAGGCGAACCGGGAGAACUGAAACAUCUAAGUACCCCGAGGAAAAGAAAUCAACCGAGAUUCCCUCAGUAGCGGCGAGCGAACGGGGAUUAGCCCUUAAGCAUCUUGGAAGUUAGUGGAACGGUCCUGGAAAGGCCGGCGAUACAGGGUGAUAGCCCCGUACACGAAAACAACCUUGAUGUGAAAUCGAGUAGGGCGGGACACGUGACAUCCUGUCUGAAUAUGGGGGGACCAUCCUCCAAGGCUAAAUACUCCUGACUGACCGAUAGUGAACCAGUACCGUGAGGGAAAGGCGAAAAGAACCCCUGUGAGGGGAGUGAAAUAGAACCUGAAACCGUGUACGUACAAGCAGUGGGAGCCCUUCGGGGUGACUGCGUACCUUUUGUAUAAUGGGUCAGCGACUUACAUUUUGUAGCGAGGUUAACCGUAUAGGGGAGCCGUAGGGAAACCGAGUCUUAACUGGGCGUCUAGUUGCAAGGUGUAGACCCGAAACCGGGUGAUCUAGCCAUGGGCAGGUUGAAGGUUGAGUAACAUCAACUGGAGGACCGAACCCACUAACGUUGCAAAGUUAGGGGAUGACCUGUGGCUGGGGGUGAAAGGCCAAUCAAACUCGGAGAUAGCUGGUUCUCCCCGAAAGCUAUUUAGGUAGCGCCUCGGACGAAUACUACUGGGGGUAGAGCACUGUUUGGGCUAGGGGGUCAUCCCGACUUACCAACCCCAUGCAAACUCCGAAUACCAGUAAGUAAUAUCCGGGAGACACACGGCGGGUGCUAACGUCCGUCGUGAAGAGGGAAACAACCCAGACCGCCGGCUAAGGUCCCAAAGUUCUGGUUAAGUGGGAAACGAUGUGGGAAGGCUCAGACAGCUAGGAUGUUGGCUUAGAAGCAGCCAUCAUUUAAAGAAAGCGUAAUAGCUCACUAGUCGAGUCGGCCUGCGCGGAAGAUGUAACGGGGCUCAAACCAGGCACCGAAGCCGCGGAUUCACACUUAUGUGUGAGUGGUAGGGGAGCGUUCUGUAAGUCUGCGAAGGUGUAUCGAGAGGUAUGCUGGAGAUAUCAGAAGUGCGAAUGCUGACGUAAGUAACGAUAAAGGGGGUGAAAAGCCUCCUCGCCGGAAGACCAAGGGUUCCUGUCCAACGUUAAUCGGGGCAGGGUGAGUCGACCCCUAAGGCGAGGCCGAAAGGCGUAGUCGAUGGGAAGCAGGUUAAUAUUCCUGCACGACUUGUAAUUGCGAUGGGGGGACGGAGAAGGCUAGGUGGGCCAGGCGACGGUUGUCCUGGUGAAAGUGCGUAGGUGGUGUUUCUAGGCAAAUCCGGAGACACAACACUGAGACACGAGACGAACACACUACGGUGUGGAAGCCAUUGAUGCCCUGCUUCCAGGAAAAGCCUCUAAGCUUCAGAUUACAAGUCAUCGUACCCCAAACCGACACAGGUGGUCGGGUAGAGAAUACCAAGGCGCUUGAGAGAACUCGGGUGAAGGAACUAGGCAAAAUAGAACCGUAACUUCGGGAGAAGGUUCGCUCUUGACAGUGAAGUCCCUUGCGGAUGGAGCAGUUGGGAGUCGCAGUGACCAGAUGGCUGGGACUGUUUAUCAAAAACACAGCACUCUGCAAACACGAAAGUGGACGUAUAGGGUGUGACACCUGCCCGGUGCCGGAAGGUUAAUUGAUGGGGUUAGCGCAAGCGAAGCUCUUGAUCGAAGCCCCGGUAAACGGCGGCCGUAACUAUAACGGUCCUAAGGUAGCGAAAUUCCUUGUCGGGUAAGUUCCGACCUGCACGAAUGGUGUAACCAUGGCCAUGCUGUCUCCACCCGAGACUCAGUGAAAUCGAAUUCGCCGUGAAGAUGCGGUGUACCCGCGGCUAGACGGAAAGACCCCGUGAACCUUUACUACAGCUUGGCACUGAACAUUGAACCUACAUGUGUAGGAUAGGUGGGAGGCUUUGAAGGCGUGACGCCAGUUGCGCUGGAGCCGUCCUUGAAAUACCACCCUUGUAUGUUUGAUGUUCUAACGCAGGGCCCUGAAUCGGGCUCGCGGACAGUGCCUGGUGGGUAGUUUGACUGGGGCGGUCUCCUCCCAAAGAGUAACGGAGGAGCACGAAGGUUGGCUAAUCCUGGUCGGACAUCAGGAGGUUAGUGCAAUGGCAUAAGCCAGCUUAACUGCGAGACGGACAGGUCGAGCAGGUACGAAAGUAGGUCAUAGUGAUCCGGUGGUUCUGAAUGGAAGGGCCAUCGCUCAACGGAUAAAAGGUACUCCGGGGAUAACAGGCUGAUACCGCCCAAGAGUUCAUAUCGACGGCGGUGUUUGGCACCUCGAUGUCGGCUCAUCACAUCCUGGGGCUGAAGUCGGUCCCAAGGGUAUGGCUGUUCGCCAUUUAAAGUGGUACGCGAGCUGGGUUCAGAACGUCGUGAGACAGUUCGGUCCCUAUCUGCCGUGGGCGUUGGAUGAUUGAAGGGAGUUGCUCCUAGUACGAGAGGACCGGAGUGAACGAACCUCUGGUGUUCGGGUUGUCACGCCAGUGGCACUGCCCGGUAGCUAAGUUCGGAAUCGAUAACCGCUGAAAGCAUCUAAGCGGGAAGCGAGCCCUGAGAUGAGUCAUCCCUGACCCCUUGAGGGUCCUAAAGGGCCGUUGGAGACCACAACGUUGAUAGGUGGGAUGUGUAAGCGCGGCGACGUGUUGAGCUAACCCAUACUAAUUACCCGUGAGGCUUAACCAUACAACACCCAAGAAGUGUU